rnacentral:rRNA from 1 species
UAGAGUUUGAUCAUGGCUCAGAUUGAACGCUGGCGGCAGGCCUAACACAUGCAAGUCGAGCGAGAAAGGUCUUCGGACUGAGUAGAGCGGCGGACGGGUGAGUAACGCAUGGGAAUCUGCCUGGUAGUGGGGGACAACCGUUGGAAACGACGGCUAAUACCGCAUACGCCCUACGGGGGAAAGCGGGGGAUCUUCGGACCUCGUGCUAUC